rnacentral:rRNA from 1 species
ACGGCUCAGUAACACGUCGAUAACGUACCGUGAAGACCGGGAUAACCUUGCGAAAGUGAGAGUAAUACCGGAUAGGGAACGGGGUGUGGAAUCCUCCCAUUCCAGAAAGAUCCGUCGCUUCACGAUCGGUCGGCGGCUCAUCAGGUAGUUGGUGAGGUAAUGGCUCACCAAGCCUAAGACGAGUAGGGGCCAUGAGAGUGGUUGCCCCGAGAAGGACACUGAGAUACAGGUCCUAGCCCUAAGGGGUGCAGCAGUCGCGAAAACUCCGCAAUGCGCGCAAGCGUGACGGGGGGAUUCUGAGUGCUUACGGUUUAACCGUAGGCUUUUCGUUAGGGCAAAUACCUAGCGGAAUAAGUGGUGGGCAAGACUGGUGCCAGCCGCCGCGGUAACCCCAGCGCCACAAGUGGGAACCACGUUUAUUGGGUCUAAAGCAUCCGUAGCCGGCUCGGCAAAUGCCCUGUGAAAUCGAUCCGCUCAACGGAUCGGCGUGCAGGGUAGACUACCAAGCUAGGGACCAGAGGAGGAGGGCGGUAUUCCUGAGGGAGCGGUAAAAUGUGAUAAUCUCAGGAGGACCACCAAUGGCGAAGGCAGCCUUCUAAUAUGGAUCCGACGGUGAGGGAUGAAAGCUAGGGGAGCGAUCCGGAUUAGAUACCCGAGUAGUCCUAGCCGUAAACGCUGCAUGCCAGAUGUUACACAAUCUUCGAGAUUGUGUAGUGUCGUAACGAAGGUGUUAAGCAUGCCACCUGGGAAGUACGGUCGCAAGGCUGAAACUUAAAAGGAAUUGGCGCGGGGAGA